rnacentral:SRP_RNA from 1 species
UCGUGCUAGGCGGGGAACUAGCGGUGCCCUGUACUCGCAAUCCGCUUUAGCGAGGCUGAAUCCCCUCCCGAGGCUCCGUCGCUUCGGCUCCUGCGUCCGCGCGGGGUGUUGACGGUCGGGUCCUGUGCAGCGGCGUCCCGCGAACUCCGUCAGGUCCGGAAGGAAGCAGCGGUAAGCGGUCGAUGCCGGGUGCCGCAGGGUCACCUGGCCCGAGCCACCGGCGGGCGCGUGACCGGGACGGCGUGGUCGACGGAGGGUGCACGA